CGCCAGAUGGGGCGGGAGGAGGGGAGACCCGGCACCCACCGGCCCAGAGCUGCCUGACGCGGCCUGGGCGGACCCCGCCGCCCGGGUGCCUAGGCACGAUUCCAGGGAUCCAGGGUAAAGCGGUUCGCGCGGGAACAGGAGGAUAUGUCAGGCACAGGCUAUUCCCCAUCACUAUAGCCACAGAGGACUGGUCCAGAUGCGGAUCCCGAUCUGUGCUUCUUCAGGAGAGCUCUGCCAAGGUGGUAGCUGAGAAGGGAAAACCUGUACAAGAGUUGCUGAGAAUAUGCCUCGCUGCAGAGGAGAGGACAUGGAUGCAGGGAGCGGAUUCUUCCCCACCUCCUCCUUACCCCAAGGUGGUUGGAUACCAAGAAAGCUGCUCAGGAAACCUUACAACACAAUGGAAAAAGCAUUGGAGCUCCUGGUUAAGCCUUCAGACUCCAGGAGGCACACCAUUGGGCUCCUCAAGUUCUCACCCCUUUGGUCUCAGACUGAAUUAUACCACCAACUUCCCUGGUUCUCCACCUUGCAGAUGGCAGAUUGUGGAACUUCUUGGCCUCCAUAGUUGCAUGAAGCAAUUCUCAUAUUAAUUCGCCACUUACAUAUCUAUACAUAUUCUCUUGGGUCUGUUUCUCUGGAGAACCCUGACUUAUACAUGACCUUCAUGUAUAGCUAAAUAACAAUGUAUUAAUAUUUUCCACAGAGGUGUCAUGUCUCUGUAUAUUAAAUGAUCCAAGGCCAGGCGCGGUGGCUCACGCCUGUAAUCCC
rnacentral:lncRNA from 1 species